CAGAGCUUUUUCUGUCGGCGUUUGCAUUUAGUUGUUAUUUCCCCCGAGUUCCCCCAGAUUAGCGGCAUGCACGUAGCUCAAUUUUGGGCCCUAAUCUGGAGGAAAUUGUAAGCAUCGGGCUCAUCGUAACCACCCCUAAGUGAGCCGGUGCCCUGAUGAUGGCAACCUGUUGGACCACUUCAAAGGGGAAUUAUGAUGACAUUUUCAAGAACAACGUGGCGUAAUCUCACGAUGGACAACGCAGCAGGAGUUAGAACAUCUGAUAGAGGAACGUGCGAUGCCGAAUGCCCCUGAAAGGGUUAUAACCGCUGGGCAUGAGCUCUGACGUCACAGUGGCGUGCGCAUUAAGGUCGAAUGUAAACAACUUGGGUGCAUCUAACCGUCUAUAAUGUAAUAAAUUACUAAAUAAAUUUCCAUUGAUCUUAA